AUUGAACGCUGGCGGCAGGCCUAACACAUGCAAGUCGAGCGGCAGCGACAACAUUGAACCUUCGGGGGAUUUGUUGGGCGGCGAGCGGCGGACGGGUGAGUAAUGCUUAGGAAUUUGCCCAGUCGAGGGGGACAACAGUUGGAAACGACUGCUAAUACCGCAUACGCCCUACGGGGGAAAGCAGGGGCUCUUCGGACCUUGCGCGAUUGGAUAAGCCUAAGUGAGAUUAGCUAGUUGGUGAGGUAAUGGCUCACCAAGGCGACGAUCUCUAGCUGGUUUGAGAGGAUGAUCAGCCACACUGGGACUGAGACACGGCCCAGACUCCUACGGGAGGCAGCAGUGGGGAAUAUUGCACAAUGGGCGAAAGCCUGAUGCAGCCAUGCCGCGUGUGUGAAGAAGGCCUUCGGGUUGUAAAGCACUUUCAGCGAGGAGGAAAGGUUAGUGGUUAAUACCCGCUAGCUGUGACGUUACUCGCAGAAGAAGC
rnacentral:rRNA from 1 species